UGCAUCUGAAGUCUGACGAGGAUGAGAACCUCCGGGGGCAAGAGGUUCGACUCGAGCGAAGCGAGAGAACGUUGCGUCAGCAACGGCCCGCAGGGCGAGCCACGCA
rnacentral:sRNA from 1 species